AUGCCUGCCGAGGCCCACCCGGCCUCUCCUCCUCUGUGGCCCCUGCGGGAGGGAUGGUGGUCACGGGAAGCCAAGGCCCAUGGGGCUGGGGUGGGCCUGGGAGGGAGUACCCGAGAUAAGAGGGCUCCGGUGUCCCCGGCCCCCCCAGGAUCAACAGGGUCGGCUCCACGGGGAGGCGGCUCCCGUAACCUGCCAGGCCUUCCUGCUCCGUGUUUGUUCUGCACCUGGUCCAGGCAGAUGCUUCGGGUCACCACGCCCCAGGCUCUCCCCUCAGCGCCCGCCCGGUCCCUGAAGCCUGCUCCCCAACCCACCCGCGACCGCAGCUGGCCUCCCUGGGGCGGCUGCAACCGAGCUGCGUGCUCAGCACACGGGUGCACCGCGGGGAGGGAGCCGCUCUCGUCGGCAGGAGACCCCUGCCCGGCCCAGGCCACACAGGGCACUCAGCCCAUGGUGGUGCCCACACGGCAGGGGAUGCUGGCCCUUCCUACCUGCAGCCUGGCCGGGCAGCAAGGGAGCCAAGAGCUCUCCCAGCACAUCCGGAGUGAACUGGUCACCUCGUCCGGCUGCCAGCCCUGGGGGGACCCCGGAUCCCUGUGCCCCUGUGCAGCCCCCACCCCAGGGCUUCCUUCCCUGCUCCGUGCUUCUGGGACCUCGGAGGGACAGGGAAGAGGGUGGGAGGCCAAGGGGAAGGGGUUGGGUGUCGUUCCCAGCCAAAGUGACACAAUGCCAGAGGCAGGUGCCAUCGGAGUCAGGUGCCACCGAGGUGCAGGGAGAACCACGAGUCCCCACCAGGCCCUGGGUGGACGCCUCUCCAGAUGCUGCUCUUGCUGGUGCUCCUGUUGUUCGUCCUGGGAGACGGGGGUGAGUCCCCAGAUCACAGUGUCCGGCUGCCAGCGACCCCGACCUCCAACCCUGGGGGCCCAGGCCACGACUCCUGGUGGGCUCCUUGCCUCGCGGCUCUGCCCCGGGGACGGGGCAGGUGGGGUGGGUGUGGGGGUCACACUCCACCCAAGCUGUCCUCGGAGCUCCACAGCCCGGGCCCCCUGGUCUGUGUGA
rnacentral:lncRNA from 1 species